rnacentral:rRNA from 1 species
AUACGGGGGAUUCAAGCGUUAUCCGGACUUAUUGGGUUUAAAGGGUGCGUAGGCUGAUAAAUCAGUCAGCGGUGAAAUUUACGGGCUUAACUUGUAGCUUGCCGUUGAAACUAUUUAUCUAGAGAUAUUUCGGCGUAUGCGGAAUGUAUCAAGUAGCGGUGAAAUGCAUAGAUAUGCUACAGAACACCAAUCGCGAAGGCAGCAUACGAGGCAUCAUCUGACGCUGAUGCACGAAAGCGUGGGGAUCAAACAGGAUUAGAUACCCUGGUAGUCCACGCCGUAAACGAUGAUUACUAGGUGUAGGGGGUAUCGACUCCCUCUGUGCCGCAGUUAACGCAUUAAGUAAUCCACCUGGGGAGUACGGCCGCAAGGUUAAAACUCAAAUGAAUUGACGGGG